GAUCUCUUUUCCUCGAUACUAGCUCAUAUAAAAGUUGAACUUUGUGGCCAACUCUUAAACUAAUUUGCAUUACUACCAGGUUUCUUCGUUCCUCAUACUCUCUUGGGCUGGCAUCAUAGAGAGGGUAGCUGGAGGUUGUUUUAACUUGGUAUCGACUGCCGCAAUCAACCUUGAUGUAAUAGAUGGGGACGGUGCACGACCUGGAGACAGGAAGCGUGAUAUAUCAAAAAGUAAUUGACUGUUCAUGGUAAAUCUCGCUGCACCCUGCAUGUACAGAAUAUUACUCCCACAACCAUGCAAGGAGAAGAUGAGCCCAAUGCAGCACCUUCCCCUGCCGCUCACCAUGCCUUCCAAACAUUACUCCCACAACCAUGCAAGGAGAAGAUGAGCCCAAUGCAGCACCUUCCCCUGCCGCUCACCAUGCCUUCCAGUAAGGACAAAAAUCUGCACCUGUCCUCGCUUCCCCGUCCCAAACUGCAAUUCCGGCCAUUGAUAACUGGAGCACCCAUCUUACCUAAUCUGCUAAGUAAUAAGUACCAGCGUACAUCAGUACCAUCUCAAAAAAAGCGUACAUCAGUACCAUUAGCUGAUCUGCCAGUUAGGUAGCUCUAUGUAAUGAAGUAGCAAUGUAAGUUAUAGCCCUAGCUCAUCUAACACUUAUGUCACACGAUCCUAAUAGCUAUUUAAUCCUGUAGGAAAAUAUAUAAGCAUGAACAGCUAAUUCGUGUACUCUUCCCACAUGUAUAACUUCUUAAUCACGUCGUGUAACUAUACGCAAUGUGUUGUAUCUAUAUAAGGACUCACUUUUCAGAUUUCAGAACAUAGUUAUGUUAAGAUUGAGCGGGAAUGUUAAGAUAGUUAGGCAAGAAUCCUAACCAUCCUUUCCUAACUAUAUAUUCAGGAACAGAAAAUUGACAUAUAAGGAGACACUUUUCAGAUUGCCGCAUGAAGAGUUGUUGAAUAGCCUGAUGAUAUGAAAAUUGUAUAGAGGGUAGACCAGAGGUGCUACCUUCGCGGGCAUACCGCAAG